rfam:Oryza meridionalis cultivar OR44 (W2112) chromosome 10, whole genome shotgun sequence.
UGCCGGUGGAAGUAAAUCACUUAUACCCAACGUUUAACUGUUUGUCUUAUAUAAAAUUUUUUAUUAGUAUUUUUAUUUUUAUUUAGAUGAUAAAACAUAAAUAGUAUUUUAUGAGUAACUAUUUUUUUUAUUUUUUUAUAAAUAUUUUAAAUAAGACGAACGGUCGAACGUUGGACACGGAUCCUUACGACUGUAUUUAUU